AUGGCCGACGCGGGUCAAAAGUGUAGUAUCUGUUCUUAUCACCUUAAUAUCUGAUGCGGGUUGUAUUUGGACCCAAGAUAUUAAACCUAUUUUUGCAAGUUGGCAGAGAGCUUGAAGCCUGCUUCACCUCCUCCGCGGAUCGGCCCGGUAUUGCACUAUCUUGGGGAGUUUUGGUCAAUAGAUA
rnacentral:snRNA from 1 species